UAAAAAGGGGGCGGGGCUGUCCCGCCCUGUUUUCCUGUUUCAAUUAAAAUGACGUCAACACAUAGAAUAACGCUGCUACGCACCUUAAAAACCCGCCAAUAAACCCAGAGAAGAAGAAGAAGAACGCUGCGUGUGUCAAAGCAUUUCAGGGGACCUUUAAGGUUUAUAACAUCAUUAAUCAAUCCAAAUCCUAUUACUCUUCUAACCCUCGCGUUCCUGGACAUGAUGCUGAGUGCUGUGCUGUGACGCAUCUCCAACACUAGAGAGCAGAACUGCAACAGCUCUUUGACAGCUAUUUGACUUGCUGAAAUGGGGUCCUACAGGACCAAAGCCUGCUCAUGUAACAGUCUCUCCCGUAGCACCACAACUGAAUACCUGUAGAAUGUAGUUUCCUGGUUUAACAUUUGUGAUGUCAAUCCACUGGCAGUCGAUAUCAUGUCUGUACAAGUCCUAGCAGCCCACUGUGAUGCCCUGCUCACCACAAGUUGGGGCACUUGUAAUGUUUCGAAACACCUGCAACAAGUUAUAUGGAAGCCCACCUUGGCCCAUUCGUGCUCCGGUCAGAGCCCCUUUAUCAGUGCCGAAGUCCAGCUCUCUACACACCACACUGGAGGACGGCAGGUUCCAGCGAUCGUCACACACAAACACACACUCACUCCCCUUCAGGACCUUCACACGACCCUCACCUGUCUUUGCCCCACCCUUCAGACGCACCUGAGACUGGAGAAUGAGAAGGAGCAUGGCCACCGGAAGCCAUAAUGUAGGUGUUCUUUGAAUACUUUUGUUAUUAUCUUCAUGAAUCCUAAUUAUUAUAAAUUGGUUAUUAAAAUUAGCUUUAUCUGAUAACCAUUGGAUUCAGCUUGACUCAAUGCGAGCUCUGCCCUGUGUGAACAGCAGCCUGGGCACACAGCUGACUACAGCAGCUCCUCCAUCGGGACAGGAGGCAUUAGAAUUUGCCUUACUGAACUCCAUAGCGCAUGCUGAAAGAUGGGCCUCAUUUCCUGUGCAGGCCACUGAAUAGACCCUAUACACAUUAUGGAGACUAAACAGAAACACAUUUGAUCAAAUGAACAAAAAUAAACACUGUAUCCCAAAACA
ensembl:lncRNA